CCUACGGGAGGCAGCAGUGGGGAAUAUUGCGCAAUGGGCGGAAGCCUGACGCAGCGACGCCGCGUGAGGGAUGACGGCCUUCGGGUUGUAAACCUCUUUCAGCUCUGACGAAGCGUGAGUGACGGUAGGAGCAGAAGAAGCACCGGCCAACUACGUGCCAGCAGCCGCGGCAAUACGUAGGGUGCAAGCGUUGUCCGGAAUUAUUGGGCGUAAAGAGCUCGUAGGCGGUUUGUCGCGUCGAAUGUGAAAACCCCGGGGCUCAACCCCGGGCCUGCAUUCGAUACGGGCAGACUAGAGUUCGGUAGGGGAGUCUGGAAUUCCCUGGUGUAGCGGUGAAAUGCGCAGAUAUCAGGAGGAACACCGGUGGCGAAGGCGGGACUCUGGGCCGAUACUGACGCUGAGGAGCGAAAGCGUGGGGAGCGAACAGGAUUAGAUACCCUGGUAGUCCACGCCGUAAACGUUGGGCGCUAGGUGUGGGGUUCCUUCCACGAACUCCGUGCCGCAGCUAACGCAUUAAGCGCCCCGCCUGGGGAGUACGGGCCGCAAGGCUAAAACUCAAAGGAAUUGACGG
rnacentral:rRNA from 1 species